CAUACACGGAGCUAACUAGUACUAUAUUCCACCCUGUACUUCUCACUUCAACAACUAACUUUUCUCUCUGCCAUCCAAACACUUCCCUCUUCAUGUGUGUGUGUGUGUGUGUGUGUGUGUGUGUGUGUGUGUGUGUGUGUGUGUGUGUGUGUGUGUGUGUGUGUGUGUGUGU